GGGGGCUUGCUCCCGGGUUAGUGGCGAACGGGUGAGUAAUAUAUCGGAACAUAUCCGGAAGUGGGGGAUAACGUAGCGAAAGUUACGCUAAUACCGCAUAUGCCCUGAGGGGGAAAGGGGGGGAUCGCAAGACCUCUCGCUUUCGGAGUGGCCGAUACCGGAUUAGCUAGAUGGUGAGGUAAAGGCUCACCAUGGCGACGAUCCGUAGCUGGUCUGAGAGGACGACCAGCCACACUGGAACUGAGACACGGUCCAGACUCCUACGGGAGGCAGCAGUGGGGAAUUUUGGAUAAUGGGCGAAAGCCUGAUCCAGCCAUACCGCGUGAGUGAAGAAGGCCUUCGGGUUGUAAAGCUCUUUCAGCCGGAAAGAAAUCGCACUUUUUAAUACGGAGUGUGGAUGACGGUACCGGAAGAAGAAGCACCGGCUAACUACGUGCCAGCAGCCGCGGUAAUACGUAGGGUGCGAGCGUUAAUCGGAAUUACUGGGCGUAAAGCGUGCGCAGGCGGUUUGAUAAGCCAGAUGUGAAAUCCCCGGGCUUAACCUGGGAACUGCAUUUGGAACUGUCAGACUAGAGUGUAGCAGAGGGGGGUAGAAUUCCACGUGUAGCAGUGAAAUGCGUAGAUAUGUGGAGGAAUACCAAUGGCGAAGGCAGCCCCCUGGGUUUAACACUGACGCUCAUGCACGAAAGCGUGGGGAGCAAACAGGAUUAGAUACCCUGGUAGUCCACGCCCUAAACGAUGUCAACUAGUUGUUGGGGGAGGAGACUUUCCUUAUUAACGCAGCUAACGCGUGAAGUUGACCGCCUGGGGAG
rnacentral:rRNA from 1 species